CAGGGGCGCAGCGCCUGUGUCGCCUCUCCGUGUGGAUCUGGCAGUCGGUCAUCCACCUGCUGCAGAUGGGGCAGGUGUGGAGCUCUAAGCGAAAGACAUGAGGCCUAAGACUGACAAUGAGGUUGUUUUGAGGCCGAUUUCUGACUAGAAGGUGUGUGCGAUCGCCUCGUCCUGAAACCACUUCAAACAGAAUGGUUUGCAAUUUUUUUUGGUGAUGGCAUGUUCAGAAUCUUGGAUCCCUAAGUUGAAUAUGUUGGAAAUAUUUUAGGAACCCUGGAUAUUGUUGUUUUUGUAUAUAUAAUGACUUAAUAGGUGAAUCAGUAGAUUUAAUAAAGAGUAUAUAAAAGAA